UACGUAGGGUGCAAGCGUUGUCCGGAAUUAUUGGGCGUAAAGAGCGUGUAGGCGGCUUGAUUAGUCUGCUGUGAAAGUCCAGGGCUCAACCCUGGAAUGCCGGUGGAAACUGUCGAGCUAGAGUCCGGAAGAGGCGAGUGGAAUUCCUGGUGUAGCGGUGAAAUGCGCAGAUAUCAGGAGGAACACCAAUGGCGAAGGCAGCUCGCUGGGACGGUACUGACGCUGAGACGCGAAAGCGUGGGGAGCAAACAGG
rnacentral:rRNA from 1 species